UACGGAGGGUGCGAGCGUUAAUCGGAAUAACUGGGCGUAAAGGGCACGCAGGCGGGCUUUUAAGUGAGAUGUGAAAUCCCCGGGCUUAACCUGGGAAUUGCAUUUGAGACUGGGAGUCUUGAGUACAGUAGGGGGGGGUAGAAUUCCACGUGUAGCGGUGAAAUGCGUAGAGAUGUGGAGGAAUACCGGUGGCGAAGGCAGCCCUCUGGGC
rnacentral:rRNA from 1 species